GAAGGGCCCGAGCGUUGCGCGGAAUCACUGGGCUUAAAGCGUACGUAGGCAGACAAGCAGGCACCUUGUGAAAUCCCUCGGCUCAACCGAGGAAUUGCUUGGUGAACCGCUUGUCUUGAGGUGAGUAGGGGCUGUCGGAACGAUAGGUGGAGCGGUGAAAUGCGUUGAUAUCUAUCGGAACGCCAAAGGCGAAGGCAGGCAGCUGGGCUCAUUCUGACGCUGAGGUACGAAAGCGUGGGGGGAGCGAACGGGAUUAGAUACCCCGGUAGUCCACGCCGUAAACGAUGUGCACUAGGUCGAGGGGGGUUCUGACGCCCAUUCUCGGCCGAAGCAAAAGUCUUAAGUGCACCGCCUGGGAGUACGGUCGCAAGGCUA
rnacentral:rRNA from 1 species